ACGUAGGUGGCGAGCGUUGUUCGGAUUUAUUGGGCGUAAAGGGUUCGUAGGUGGUUUGCUAAGUCUGACGUGAAAUCCCAUGGCUCAACCAUGGAACUGCGUUGGAGACUGGUGAACUUGAGUAUUGGAGAGGUAAGCGGAAUACCAGGUGUAGCGGUGGAAUGCGUAGAUAUCUGGUAGAACACCGAGAGCGAAGGCAGCUUACUGGACAAAGACUGACACUGAGGAACGAAAGCGUGGGGAGCAAACAG
rnacentral:rRNA from 1 species